CCCAGAAAAUGUUGACCGUGAGAUGUGUGAAAAUUACUGCAGCUGCUGUUCCAUUUUUUGUAUUGUUUUUGCUUUUACCGAUCAUUUUGAAAGUGAGUCAAGAAUCCGAUCGACCACUUAUGUGCUAUAAAUGUUGGGCAGAUAAAAGCAACGAAGGGGAGAAAUGUCCGUUUGGGAUCGCCCAUGGUGUUUGCUGGACCAGAAACAUCCAGAAGCCAUGGCAGAAACGAUCGUUUGUCAAUCCUCUGAAUCUUAUUGUGGCAUCUACUAUCAUGAAAAGCAAGACGAUGAAAAUAAUGGUGCAACUGCGAUAUUUGUACGAGGCUGCCAAGAAGACCGACGACGACCAAGCCUGUUCAUCGGAAACUUACAGUCUAUGAUCUACGGAACGCCAACGGGCCGAAAAUUCACGGUGGCAGACCCUUUGCGCAACACCAGUCACAGUUACUGGGCCUUUGAUCAAGCCUGUACGACUCCGCUCUGCAACUCAUGGACGGAUCACACUCGCCAAUGGGGCUGGAUCAAUUGGAUUAAAGAGGCCUAUACGUUCCACUGCCCAGGAUUGCCUGCUCAGUACAGUGAUAGAGCAGUUGAAAAAAAGACGACGAAUAAUUCGUGAAUAACAAGACAGAAAUGAAGUAGACGCCGUCCAACUGUAACAGCGUUACGGGAUCGUUAAAUUUUGAAAAUGUUGAUUAAAUGUAGAACUGAAAUUUAACCAGACAAAGAAAAAUUGAUUUCUGAGGCCGCAA